rnacentral:rRNA from 1 species
UACAGAGGGUGCAAGCGUUAAUCGGAAUUACUGGGCGUAAAGCGUGCGUAGACGGUCAUGUAAGUCGGGUGUGAAAGCCCCGGGCUCAACCUGGGAAUUGCAUUCGAGACUGCAUGGCUAGGGUGCGGAAGAGGGAAGCGGAAUUUCCGGUGUAGCGGUGAAAUGCGUAGAUAUCGGGAGGAACACCCGUAGCGAAGGCGGCGCUCUGGGCCGGAACUGACGCUGAGGAGCGAAAGCGUGGGGAGCAAACAGG